AAAGCGCGAUUUCUAGGUCUCCUCCUUUCCUCCCAGCCCCGAACACCAGCGGGCCGCCGCCGCCGCACACCCGCGUCGCUCCCUCUCUCCUUCUUCCCGGCGGCGGGGUCGCGGCCUCCUCCCUCCCUCCGGCCGCGGCUCCUCCUCCCUCCCCUCCGGCCGCGGCUCCUCCUCUCCCGGCGCAGGGGCGCGGCCUCCCGGCGCCCCUGUCCUCCCCACCGGCGCCCGCAGCCCUCAGAUCCGGCGGCCGGCAGCGUCGGGGUCGAGGCGAGGGGGCGCGGCCUCCUCUCCCGGCGCGGGGGCUCCUCCCUGCCGGCGGCCGCAGCUCGUCCUCCGCGGCGUCAGCCGCGGGUCCCACGCCCCCCACCUGACACGCCCGCGACCGCGACUCCUGGAGGUCUCCUGUAGCGACCUGGAGGAUUGCGGCGCGUUUACCGUGCUGCGGUGCAGCAGUUGGAUCGGCAAAUGUGGCGUCCAGGCUCUUUCGGAGUACUGCGGUAGACACCUCUGUCGGACCCAAUAUUUGAAGCCAGAUGUGUGGAGAGGUUAAUCACUCCCCUCACCGGCAGUGGAUGCAGCCACACUGCUGCCUGCAAAACAUCUUUAUUGCUUCAACGCAAGGAAGGCUCUAGAAGCAUCUAGUUUGUCUAUGAUUGCUUCUCAUAUAUUUUUAUGCAAGGAAGGCUCUAGAAGCAUUUGGUUUGUCCAUGCAGAUGAUCUUAAUUACCUGGUUAUCAAUUAGCUUAAGCAAAGCUAAUUUCAUGCUUGCCACCCUCACACAACAUCGGGAUGCGUUUUGCACGAGAAGCAACGGCAAGGUAGGCACCUCUGUCGGACCCAAUAUUUGAAGCCAGAUGUGUGGAGAGGUUAAUCACUCCCCUCACCGGCAGUGGAUGCAGCCACACUGCUGCCUGCAAAACAUCUUUAUUGCUUCAACGCAAGGAAGGCUCUAGAAGCAUUUGGUUUGUCCAUGCAGAUGAUCUUAGUUACCUGGUUAUCAAUUAGCUUAAGCAAAGCUAAUCUCAGGCUUGCCACCCUCACACAACAUCGGGAUGCGUUUUGCACGAGAAGCAACGGCAAGGUAGGCACCUCUGUCGGACCCAAUAUUUGAAGCCAGAUGUGUGGAGAGGUUAAUCACUCCCCUCACCGGCAGUGGAUGCAGCCACACUGCUGCCUGCAAAACAUCUUUAUUGCUUCAACGCAAGGAAGGCUCUAGAAGCAUUUGGUUUGUCCAUGCAGAUGAUCUUAGUUACCUGGUUAUCAAUUAGCUUAAGCAAAGCUAAUCUCAGGCUUGCCACCCUCACACAACAUCGGGAUGCGUUUUGCACGAGAAGCAACGGCAAGGUAGGCACCUCUGUCGGACCCAAUAUUUGAAGCCAGAUGUGUGGAGAGGUUAAUCACUCCCCUCACCGGCAGUGGAUGCAGCCACACUGCUGCCUGCAAAACAUCUUUAUUGCUUCAACACAAGGAAGGCUCUAGAAGCAUCUAGUUUGUCUAUGAUUGCUUCUCAUAUAUUUUUAUGCAAGGAAGGCUCUAGAAGCAUUUGGUUUGUCCAUGCAGAUGAUCUUAAUUACCUGGUUAUCAAUUAGCUUAAGCAAAGCUAAUUUCAUGCUUGCCACCCUCACACAACAUCGGGAUGCGUUUUGCACGAGAAGCAACGGCAAGGGAUAAGAUUGUGAAGCACCUGUGCCACCAUCAUCAUCAGCUUAGCAGGGUCACUUUGAUAUUCCAAGGAAGGGCACCUUGCUAGCCUCCCUGAUUGCCCCCUAACAAUGAAGACGCAUGAGCGAGCUGCCAAUUUGGCUCUUGUUGCUUUGAGUUUGGCACCACUUGUGGUUAAUGUAAACCCAAAUGUGAAUGUGAUAUUGACAGCAUGUCUUACUGUCUAUGUUGGUUGUUACCGUUCUGUCAAGCCAACUCCACCCGCUGAGACAAUGUCCAAGGAGCAUGCUAUGCGUUUCCCCUAAGUGGGAAGUGCUAUGCUUUUGUCAUUGUUCCUUCUAUUCAAGUUUCUUUCAAAAGACUUGGUCAAUGCUGUGCUCACUGCUUACUUCUUCAUUCUUGGCAUUGUUGCUCUCUGCAAUUUCUUCCAAAAGAAUGGAAUGAUAAUCUCAUUGUUUGGCGAGCUCCACUUAUCCACUGAGAAGAUAGAUGCUAGAGGACAGAUACAAGGACGGGGUCAUUGCAAAGAAAAAGAGCCAGAGGUGAGUGAGCCUACGACCACCAAUUGCUUAUCCCCAAUUACCAAUUGCAGCAGACUUGGACUAAAGGAAUUGCUUGAAGUGAAGACCAGUGAACAAAAGGCUUUACACAACAGAAUUGUUGACCUCUUUCGUUUCGGGAUAAGGCCUGGAAGAAGCAGGGAUUGAACCAGGGCUUGUUCACAGAGCAAAUAUCAAAAGCCUAUGUUGUAUUCAUAUAACUGCAUGUGUAUGUAACCCAUUUGUUUUUAUCCCUCACUAUUUUUGUGCCUUUUCUGGUCAGAAAUCCCAAGUUGACACACUUGCUGCAAGAUUCUCUAGGAGACUCUAAAGCAUUGAUGUUUGUGCAAAUUAGCCCAUCCGAUAGUGAUGUAUCAGAAACCUUGAGUUCAUUAAACAUCGCCAGCCAUGUUCGGCGUAUUGAGUUGGGACCAGCAAAGAAGCAAGUUGAUACUGUUGAACUUCAAAAGACCAACAGAUGAUGAGUUUUAGUUGUGCAUUUUCCUAAGUUAACUUUCAUGACAACUUGCACACUGUGCUAGCAACCUGCUUGAGGCUAGCUUAAUGAUAUGUAAUUUACAUUUUUCCUGCUGAAUGAAUGUAAGCUUGAAAGAACUAAGCAAGAAGUCAGACUUAAGGAUGACUCUUGAGAAAGCUAGAAGAGAACUUAAAAAAUUUCGAGACCAAAGCCAAAGGGAAAGAGUAACUUUGCAAGAACUUGCAAGAAAAGGUAAAAGAGAGGUCAGUUAGAUUCCAGGGCACAUUCUCAAAUGACAUCAGAGAAACAGCAGCAUCAGCUCUCUGGAAAACUAAAGGAGAAAGAAGAAAUGUGUACUGCCCUUCAGCAGAAGAUCGUGGAGUUAGAGAGCAAACUUAGACAGCCGCACCAAUCAGAAUCUGAGGUUGCAGUUCUCAAGCAAAUGAUCGAAGAGAUGGAGCUCAAGUUGAAGGCGACUCCUAUAAAGAUUAAAACAUUUAUACAUUUUAUAUGAUUGUUGCGGAAUUAAAGGUGCUCCUUGAACGGGACCGAGCAAGGGAUGAGCAAGGGUUUGAACAUACCUCAAUGCUUACGACGGCCACGACGGCCACGACGGCGGGUUGCUGACGCCUCCUUACGCUCCUGACGAUCCCUAGCCUCGCGCUCCCUCGCUUCCCUGGCCUUACUCUCUUCGAUCCGGUGCCUCUCCUCAUGGCCGCGGAUGAAGAUGCGGUCGUACACGCCUUCCUUGAGACGGCAAGGGCGGCACCCCCACCACACCAUCUCGCCGCCGAGCACCCCCACCCCCACCGCGCGCGCUUCUCUCCCCAUUGAUCCCGCCGCCGCCGCCGCCGCUCGCUGAGGAAGGAGUUGAAAGAGGAUUUUCGGGUGGUAUAGAGGGUUUGUUUUAUCAGUAUACUCCUGUUAGGAAAAAGCCCAUGGGCCAGCAAUGAAUUGGGCUUCCAAAUCACUGCGGCCUGCUAACAACGAAUGAAUGCGGCCCACCUCCCCGCCGCCGGCGCCGGCGCCCGCGCGCGGCAGCAGCAGCAACCCCACCAGCAGAGAGAGAGAGAGAGAGAUCUGCGACUGGGCAGUGAUGGUGUCCGACGGGUACGAUCCGAUCUGGAGCGGCCGAUUAAUUAGAACGGAGGGGGGAGGAGGCUUCGCUGAUUAGCGUCGUGAUUGGAUCGUGUCAGCGUGGCACGAGGAUGAGAGGAGAGGAGGUGCUCUGCUCGGCGCAGGGAAUUUUCGGGCCGGGUGUUUCAGGGGUAAAAAUGUCAGACCACCAUGGAGAAGUAGUAGAAAAUUCCACCUAUUAUAUGGAUAAAAAAAUUGUGGCAAGAGCAAAUACGAAUAGGAAUUUUUUUUUUUGGACGAAGUCUAUCAAAUGGGAUGGCUUUUCACGCGCGGGAUUGCGCGACGCCCUCCACGUGCACGAAGAGGUCCAAAAGCAUUUCAAUAUGCGCAAUAUUUGUCGGUGGAUUAGAUUGUAAUUGACCUAAAUUUGAAUAUUUAGACUAUGGAUAAGAGGUGUUAAACUUUA